CUCCGAAAAAUCUAACUCCACGCUACUCGCCAAUAUUCCCAACUGUAGAAUGACAAUUUACUACCGUCGUUCAGCCAUAAUCCUUCUUAAUUCUCUGUAAAUAACGUUCUAUUGGAGAGUACUUUGGUCAUUUGAUAUGUAGACGGCUCGACAAUAAAAUAAAGAGGAAACCUUUACCUUCUCUUUCUUCUUCUCAUUCGUUAGAAAACACGCACUUACACUCUGGAGUGUGUGUCGUAAUCUGGCCAUGGAGAUGAAUAAACAGAGCUCAAAAGCUCUGGAAGAAACGGAAAUGGGGAAUUUGAAGCCUAACAAGGAAGAAGAAGUGCUAGAGAAAAUUGGGAAAAAUGAUGAACAGAUUCGAGGAAGUAGUUAUUCUACAGUUCAGAAAACUUCAAUUGGAGUAGCAAAAGAAUCAAAAGAUUCUGAAUUUGAAGUUCUUCCGUCCGCACAAAUAUCGGAGAGUGAUGUCCAAUCCAAUUUUAGUUUCUCCUCUGAACAUCUCUCCGGUACCUCUGAUUCGUCCUCUUAUAACCGUGAUAUUUUGUUUUUUUAUAAUUUUUAAAUGAAAUUUUACGAUCAAUUUUGUGUAUGCAUGUAUAUACGUUAGAGUAACGCGUAGUGAUUGUGAUGAAUUUUUGUUGGCAGAGGUGCCGGUGAAAUAUACUCUGCAACCGCUAGUCUCGGAUGAUGAAUUAAAGGUUAGCAGCAAGUUGCGCGGUCCUUUUGUCAAAUCAUUUCAGAUUAAUUUUGAUUGUUGGGUUUUUCUUCCGAUAAAUUUUAUUGGAUUGCAAUUGUUCUUAUCUCAAAUGUUGCCUUGAAAGUGAGUUGGAUUAAGGUAUUGACUAUAGACUCUUGAUUUGAGUAAUUUGACAUAAAAUCGAUAAGCUAUGUGGAAGUGGAUUGAAUAAGAACGUAGAAUGAGAAUAUGCUUUGUGUGAAUGGAUAUUCAAUAAGCUAAUUGUACUCCGUGGGUUGAAUAUUGGAUGUCUUCUUUUUCUUUUGGAAUGGUUAAGAUGUGUUUUAGCUUUCCUUAUGAUAAUUCUGUACCUAUUAUACUAUUACUACCAUUACAAGAAUUCUGCAUUUGUUCGUUUCUAACCUACAAAUUUAGAAACUUGUAUCCCCUCUUGUUUUGUUCUUAUCGUAUAGAGUUUGAAUGAGUUCUCAAAGUAUGUCUUAGUUGAAUACAGGUUUCAUGGUUUUGUUAGUUUGUUGUAAAUGUAUGUAAUAUGGCUCACCAAGCUCGUGAUGGCUAACUAGAUUAAGCUCUAGUCUAAAAUACAAAAAGCUAAUGCUAAAUGACUGUUUGUGGAUGGCUUUAUUUGCUCUAGUCUGGAAGUGCCUUUUCGUUGACUUCCAUUUGGCAUAUCAAUCAGACUUUUUUAUACUGAAAUGGUUGCAAAGUUGGAUGGCUAACUAGAUCGACCUUUCGUAUGAAUCUUUUUUUCUCCAAAUAAAUAAAUAAAUAAAAAGGAAAGAAAAGAAUUGUGGGUAAACGACUGUUUCUGGGAAGUUUCAUUUCCUCUAGUCUAGACAUGGCUUUUUUUAGUUGGCAUCUAUAUGAAUUGGACUUUCUGAUAUUGAAAUUGUUUUAAAAUUUGAUUGCUAACUAGAUAAAGAUCUCAUCUUAUUUAUAUUAUACAAAAAGUUGUGGCUAAAUGACAAGUUUUUUAAUAGUUUAUCCUGUAGUCUGGAAGUGCCUUUGCUUUAAUUGCGAUUUUUCCUAUCAAUCAGACCUGUUAUACGUAAGUGAAUGGAUAAUUUAUCUAUUCAUUUAUGUAUUCAGGUCGCACUGUUUCUGCAGCAAGUACUGGCUUCAUUGAUUCAUGUUAUCAUGCACAUAUUGGCUUUUAAAAAUUUUUUCACCUGCUCGACGGCAUGGCUUAUUAGAACUUAUGCUUACUUUUUGUUUAUACAUAGAGCGAGUCUGUCGUUGACUUAAUGCGUGGUCAAUUUAUAUAUAUAUAUAUAUAUAUAACAGAGGCACUCUUCAACAUCUUAGAUAAUAGUGGAUUUGAUAUCAUAAUUUCAUCUUCCUAUUCUUAAUUAUCUCAGGAUCAAGUAAGAGUAACCCUCAAGGAACAUUUGAUUGGUAAUACUGGUCAAUCUGCCCAUGUUGAGACACACAAUCAGAUAACGUUACCUGAUGGUCCGUCCAAGUUGAGUCUCUCCCCAACUUCCGUUCGAGAGAGCAUUUCGCCAGGUCCAAGUUCGGCUUUACAAGAAAGAAAAUUGUCACCUACAGAGAACGGAAACAACUCAUGUCUGGCAGAACAGGACAGGCAGAAUUCUUCAAACCCAAAACUGUUAUCCGCACCAAAGCCGAAGACAUCUGCUGAUGGGUACAAUUGGCGAAAAUAUGGUCAAAAACAAGUAAAGAGUCCUGAAGGUUCUCGGAGCUAUUACAGAUGCACAUUUUCUGACUGUCAUGCCAAAAAGAUUGAGUUCUGUGAUCAGUUUGGCAAUGUCAUUGAGAUUGUGUACAGAGAUCACCACAAUCAUGAUCCGCCUCAAAAAGUAAAUUGCAACAGGGAAAGCAGGCAUGCGUUACCAGUUGUGCCAGCCAAUGGGAGUGACAAUGCAGCUUGUCCAGUAAAUGCUAUUAAUGAUUCUGACAUGGAAAAACCUGUAAUGGAGAUGGCGCAGUUACCUGAGACAAAUCGGCAGGACGCAACUAAUUCUGAUGAGAUCGUGGAAAUUAGUACCAAGGAAGAACAUGUUAAUGAAGUUGAACAUAAAAAAAGGCAAGUUGUUGAUUAAGUGACAGCCAUUGUCUUUCAGUUUAGGUUACCUAUGUUUCUUUUCCUGAUGAUAGUUCCCUAGCAGAUAGAUCUGAUACUAUUUCACGUCUUUGAAUUGCCAGGCAGGAGAAGAGUGUCACCAGUGAUAUGUUAACCAUCGCCAAACCUGGAAAGAAACCUAAAACUGUUGUUGAAGAGGCUGGUGAUGUGGGGAUAUCAGGAGAUGGCUACAGAUGGCGCAAGUAUGGACAGAAGAUGGUGAAAGGGAACGUUCACCCAAGGUGAAUUCCCAGCUUUCUAUAUUACAUUACGACACUAUCUCAUAGAUUAGAUUUAUUUCAUUAAUUUUUUUCCCUAACUGCUCAGUUUUCAAGAACUAUUGGAAACUUCAAUAUAGUCUGCAUUUAUGAUAGAUUCUGUCAAACUCCUCCACGUCUCUGUCUCUUCUGCACAUCAACCCCAAAUCACUUGCUUUUUUCUAAUUUUUCAUAAUUUAAGGUCAUUUUUCAAAUUGGAAAUUAUUACAAGCCUGAGGUGCAUGAGCGCUAACCUGCAUAAAUAAUUACAUUUCAAACUCACCUCCCUCCCCCACUCAAAAAAUAAGGAUAAGGAAAAUAAAAAGCAUGCAUAGACAUACUCAAAUAUAUAUGAGGUCAUUAUUAGUAGCAAGUCUUGUAGAGCAUGACGCAUGGUGGUAAAGAUCUGUUAGUUCUACGUUUUGGGCCCUCGAUUAACUCAACAGUUUGUAAUGGUAAAUAUGGCAUAUACAACUUAGAAAAAAUGAAUCAAAGAAAAAUGAAGAUUAAAGUGAGGGAGAGAUUAUUAAAGCACAAGAAGGCACUGAAUGUUUAUUGUAGAAUUUGAAGGGGGACUCAUCCUCCAAACAAGCUGGCUCUUGAUCUAUAAAGAACGUGCUUUUUUUUUUUUUUUUCCGAAACAAACUUGACUCCUCUAAUCCAUGUAUUAUAGAGAAAUUCCCCUAUGUAAUGAGUUUUUAUGGGUAUCCAAAAAAAUAAAUAAUAAUAAUAAAAUAAUAAAAUAAAAUAAAAUAAAAUAAAAUAAUAAUAAUAAUCAUAAUAAAUAAUUAGAGCUUCCUAAAGAAUAAUGGGGUGUCUUUUUAGUCAUUGAUUAUUUCAAAAUAAUAUUCAUUUCUUUGAAUAGCACACUUGAAAUCUCUGUAUACUUUCUUUUCUUUUCUUGUGAUUAAUACAUAAGUUUAUCUGAUUUCUGGAAAACGUUCUGUUAGAAUGACCCCUCCAACCUUGAUCUCCAUAGUAAAAUAACUAAAUUUUACUUUGACAACAUUGCAUACAACUCAGCGACUGCGGAUUGCAGGUUCUGUUAAUUAGAGAAGGCACAGUAGAGUAGAUUUCUGGACAUGGACUCUCAAUGUAAAUAUUUAAACAGUACUUAGUGAAUCUUUAGAGAAAAUACAUAUUCAUAGCAAUGAAUGCUACAGAAUCCAUGCAUAACUAUUUUAGGUAUUAUUCACUUUAUAAAAAGAUUAUUGUUGUUGGCGGUUCACAUAUGUAUCUCUUUGACGUUAAAUUUCAUAAUUGAUGUUAUUUAGACCCAGGCCCAGAGUUUGUAAAAUGACAGUCAAAAUACAUGAAAAUAAUGUCAUUAAGUUGCAGAAAUGACGUUAAUGGAGAGUUAACUUACUUGGUGGUACCAAUGCAUGAACACCCUUUAAAGUCAAGGUGGUUAACUGAACUUACUCAUAAUGAACAGAAUAGACACAUGUAUCUGCACAGAUGCACAUGCACAUUGCAAGGCCUCGUGUGUUCAGACAGACGCACGCCCGGAGAGAGAGAGAGAGAUAGAGAGACAGAGAGAACAAACAAAUAUAAUAUUGGAUGAAGGCUUCCAGCAGUCUCAUUUUUAAAGAAAAAAGGUCGGAAAAGAGGGUCUGGUGUACUCUUCUUAGAAGGUUGGCUUUCGUGAGUUUAGCCCUAAAUCCCUGCUCAGAAGAGGUCGCUAUAAUAAUAAACGAACAAAACUUUCCAUAAAAAUGCAUGUUCUGUCUUUCCUUGGAAUUAUAAUUGACCAUCAGUGCGCUCAAGUUGACUCUAGUUUAAUAUCAGAACAACAUGAUGGUAAGACUGAAUGGUGAAGUUGGCUAGGGCCUGUCUGGUAACGAUUCUAGGCAGAUUUUUAGAAAUUUUUUUACCGUUAAUGAGCCCCACAUCUGCAAGAAAAGUGGCCAAAAAAGGGAUAGUUGCAGCAGCCGCCUUUCAGAAAUCAUUUGAAUUGUCAAAAUUAUCCUUGUGUCAGAUAAAAAUAAUAACAAUGUAGGGACAAGAUGGUAUUUUCACCUAAAUUUCUACCUGAAUGGUUGGUGAAGUCAAAGUUUGCUGCCAUUGUCUGGGCCCCAUUUACUGUAGCCAACGGACGAAUUUUUGCUUAUAAUUCGGCAAGAAUCCCUCCCAGACAGCACCUUUUAUCUUUUAUCAUGCAUAAGAUGCUCUUUCCACAUCUUGAACAAAGAGAGGGAUAUCUGCAACUAGUUUACAACCUGUAGACAGGUGCAAAUUAAAUAAAAUGAGAAGGAAAAAAGGCCUGUGUCUGGAGUUCGAGCUAUGAUCCUGUUUACAACUUUAGACGGCUGCCUUUCUACAAUCACAUCACUACCUCUAACCUAGACAUAUUUUUCCUGAUCUUCUCUGACAUAAUAAGAAAAUGAGAAUUUAUUGUACAUAUCAGUUCAUCUCUUGUGAUCUGCACUGAGUUUAAUCCAUUUCACCUUGUUCAAGACAAGCUCAAAAUUGUACAUUCUGUAAGUGAAUCUUAGAAUAGUAAAGCAAAAGGCUAAUGUCAACAGUAGAAUCUGGCAAAUCAAGCCUAAUAAAACCUGAGCUUGAAGACUUCCAUCACGUGACUGACCUCAACUAUGACUUGAUCAUAAAUUGGAGGAUUCUUUAGUACUUUGCGGCAUGUAAAAAGUACACGGUGAAUGGAGAGGUUCAUCCAACUUCCUCUAUUCUGAACCUUGCAUUGUAAUCCUAAUGUAAAAUUUAUUAUUUGGAUUAUGUCUGUAAUUUAGAAGUCUUGACCUUUAUGCUGAGAUUAGGAAUUAUAUUAUCCAGGAACUACUACAGAUGUACAUCAGCUGGAUGUCCUGUUCGAAAGCACAUUGAAAGGGCAACAGAUAGUUCAAGUGCAGUAAUAGUAUCAUACACAGGAGAACAUGAUCACGACAUGCCAGUUCCAAAGAAAACUCGUGGCCCAACGAGCGAUUCUCUUGUUGCUACUGCUUCUCCUGGUCCCAUGAACAAUUUGCAAAUUUCUGAAACUGAAGUAUAACUGAAUAAGAAAUCUACUAAAAGUUCGGGCAUUGAAUCUGGGUGAGAGAGAAAAGUGGGAUCUGAUCAAAAGUGAAUGUUCGCUUCAAAGUGGGUGAACACCACUGGAAGAGUAGAUUAUUGACGCAACUCUCUUAAUGGAAGUAUGUAACUUCAAGUAAUCUUAUUUGAUUCUUUGCUCUUUCUUUUUCCUUGUAUUUUUAAUUUUUUUAGCUUUAGAAUCGGUGAUUCAGAAUAGGUUGGUUGUUGUGGUAGUGCUUGAAACUGAUUUUGGUUGACUUUGUACACAUUGUCGUGGAUCAAAUGAAUUAGGUGUUUUUGACCAAAG
rnacentral:lncRNA from 1 species